rnacentral:rRNA from 1 species
UAGGGAAUCUUCGGCAAUGGGGGCAACCCUGACCGAGCAACGCCGCGUGAGUGAAGAAGGUUUUCGGAUCGUAAAGCUCUGUUGUAAGUCAAGAACGAGUGUGAGAGUGGAAAGUUCACACUGUGACGGUAGCUUACCAGAAAGGGACGGCUAACUACGUGCCAGCAGCCGCGGUAAUACGUAGGUCCCGAGCGUUGUCCGGAUUUAUUGGGCGUAAAGCGAGCGCAGGCGGUUUGAUAAGUCUGAAGUUAAAGGCUGUGGCUCAACCAUAGUUCGCUUUGGAAACUGUCAAACUUGAGUGCAGAAGGGGAGAGUGGAAUUCCAUGCGUAGCGGUGAAAUGCGUAGAUAUAUGGAGGAACACCGGUGGCGAAAGCGGCUCUCUGGUCUGUAACUGACGCUGAGGCUCGAAAGCGUGGGGAGCGAACAGGAUUAGAUACCCUGGUAGUCCACGCCGUAAACGAUGAGUGCUAGGUGUUGGAUCCUUUCCGGGAUUCAGUGCCGCAGCUAACGCAUUAAGCACUCCGCCUGGGGAGUACGACCGCAAGGNUG